GGGAUCAUUACUGAGUUACCGCUCAUCAACCCUUUGUGAACAUACCUUAUCUGUUGCUUCGGCGGGUAGGCGUCCCCUAAAAAGGACAGUCUCCCGGCCCUCUCCCGUCCGCGGGUGGGGCGCCCGCCGGAGGAUAACCAAACUCUGAUUUAACGACGUUUCUUCUGAGUGACACAAGCAAAUAAUCAAAACUUUUAACAACGGAUCUCUUGGUUCUGGCAUCGAUGAAGAACGCAGCGAAAUGCGAUAAGUAAUGUGAAUUGCAGAAUUCAGUGAAUCAUCGAAUCUUUGAACGCACAUUGCGCCCGCCAGCAUUCUGGCGGGCAUGCCUGUUCGAGCGUCAUUUCAACCCUCAAGCUCUGCUUGGUGUUGGGGCUCUACGGUUGACGUAGGCCCUUAAAGGUAGUGGCGGACCCUCUCGGAGCCUCCUUUGCGUAGUAACAUUUCGUCUCGCAUUGGGAUUCGGAGGGACUCUAGCCGUAAAACCCCCAAUUUUACUAAGGUUGACCUCGGAUCAGGUAGGAAUACCCGCUGAACUUAAG
rnacentral:rRNA from 1 species